AAGGGAGACCUAAUUCAGGUAGGAGACGAAAAAAAAGUAGUCCCAACCAAGAAUCAAUCCCAAAAGGUCGGAGCGAGGCGAAAUUGGCUUUCAAACUAGGUUCUGGGUUCACACAAGACCUGAAUCAGGAACAAGGGCUAUUAGCUCAGGUGGUUAGAGCGCACCCCUGAUAAGGGUGAGGUCCCUGGUUCGAGUCCAGGAUGGCCCACCUGCACAGGUGGCAAAAACAAGAGAAGCGAGGAAUCAGCACCUUAUCUUAUCUAUAUAUAUAUAGGAGAGAAUGCUGGCUCUGAGUAAAGAGUCCAGAGGGACCUUGAAAACUGCAUAGAGCUAGGUGAAAAAGCCAAAAAAGAAGACCGCAA
rnacentral:tRNA from 1 species